rnacentral:rRNA from 1 species
GAUCAUGGCUCAGGACGAACGCUGGCGGCGUGCCUAACACAUGCAAGUCGAACGGAAGCAAAGAUUUCGGUUUUUGCUUUAGUGGCGAACGGGUGAGUAACGCGUGAGGAACCUGCCUUUCAGUGGGGGACAACAGUUGGAAACGACUGCUAAUACCGCAUAAUGCUUUUUGAUGGCAUCAUUGAAAAGCCAAAGAUUUAUUGCUGAAAGAUGGCCUCGCGUCUGAUUAGCUGGUUGGUGGGGUAACCGG